rnacentral:lncRNA from 1 species
ACACUUGAACAACAUCAAAACAAGUUAUUUUUCGCUGAUCUGAAAUUUAUGUUUUAAUGUGCAUGUAAUUUCGGGAUUUUUCAAAAAGUUCGAUUUUUGCUGAAAUAUUUUGCAUGAUCUGGUUAGAAAUAGCAUUUGUAUGCAUUCUAAUAUAUUUAGAAAUUUUUUCGCUAUUUUUACAGAUUUUUUUCAGAAAUUAUAUUCAUAUAUGCAAUUUUUGACAUAGGAAAAU